rnacentral:rRNA from 1 species
UACAGGGGGUGCAAACGUUGCUCGGAAUCAUUGGGCGUAAAGCGCACGUAGGCGGGCUGUUAUGUCGGAUGUGAAAGCCCUUGGCUCAACUGAGGAAGUGCAUCCGAAACUGGCAGGCUAGAGUACGAAAGAGGAUCGCGGAAUUCCCGGUGUAGAGGUGAAAUUCGUAGAUAUCGGGAGGAACACCGGUGGCGAAGGCGGCGAUCUGGGUCGAUACUGACGCUGAGGUGCGAAAGCGUGGGGAGCAAAAGGG